rnacentral:lncRNA from 1 species
AUUAAUUUACAAGUCCAACAAGCUAUACAUUCAAACGGAUAAUCGAUCCAGACCCGCAACUCAGCAAAUGCACAACCGAAAUUGAAAUAAUCAUAAACGCACAACCAUAAUCAUCGUACUAGUUUCAACAACUUACGAUUUCACCAAAAUUGUAAUUGAAAUGAAAAAUGUAAUCAUCACAACAACACAUCACAACAACACAAAACAACAGCACAUGCGUAUCAUUAUGUAAAUUAUGCAGCGAAUCCAGAAUUAUAGAUUAACAACAAUACUGCAGCGACAAAUACACAACAAAUGCAUAUGGACAACUUCUUUUCGAUAACUAGAAUACAGCAUACAAAAGUGAAAUUUGUAACAGCUUAAAAAAAACAACCACAUGAUUAAGAUCAAAUUAAAGCACCAUAAUGGACACGUUUGAAGAAACUCGAAGUCGUUACCAAAACACGGAUCUUCGUUGCUACAAGUUGCUGAUGCGUUUUUGGCUUUGCGUGCGAUUUUGCUUCUACCGGUAGCGUCGCCGUAUUUUGUUCAGGAGACCAUUCUUCUCACUUUUCAUGUGGAGUUCUGGCGAUCUGAAAAUGGUAUUUAUCUUCAGCGGCUACGUCAUGAGUGGAUGGAUACGGCGAUGAAGAGGAAGAAGUCGUCGGUAGUGGUGUUGUUGUUGGACGGUGAUGGGGAGCUUGCCGAUCGAACAGGCGGAGGAGAGUUGUGGUGGAUGAACCGGAGGAGGUCGUUGUGGUUGGAUGAGGGUGAAUUUUGAGGCGCGAAUCACGAACGGAGAGGGCGAUUUCCAACGGCGGGAAUCGUGGCUGUUGGCGAAAACAGAGGGAGAAAGAGUUGGCGUUUGGACGGUGGAUGGUUGUUACGGAGUGGAAGUGAAGGUCGGUUCGUGAGGGUUUUUGUUGGUCGUUUGGGGAAGACGAUGAGGGAGUUCGCGUGUGAGAGAGAAAAG